rnacentral:rRNA from 1 species
AUUGAACGCUGGCGGCAUGCCUUACACAUGCAAGUCGAACGGCAGCACGGGAGCAAUCCUGGUGGCGAGUGGCGAACGGGUGAGUAAUAUAUCGGAACGUACCCAGUCGUGGGGAUAACGUAGCGAAAGCUACGCUAAUACCGCAUACGAUCUAUGGAUGAAAGCGGGGGAUCGCAAGACCUCGCGCGAUUGGAGCGGCCGAUAUCAGAUUAGGUAGUUGGUGAGGUAAAGGCUCACCAAGCCGACGAUCUGUAGCUGGUCUGAGAGGACGACCAGCCACACUGGGACUGAGACACGGCCCAGACUCCUACGGAGGCAGCAGUGGGGAAUUUUUGGGACAAUGGGCGCAAGCCUGAUCCAGCAAUGCCGCGUGCAGGAUGAAGGCCUCGGUGUAAC